GCCCAGGUAGCCAAGCGGUCACGGCGGUAGCCUGGAGAGCUACUCUCCUUCUAGGAGACACGAGUUCGAAUCUCGCCCUGGGCGCCA
rnacentral:tRNA from 1 species